AUUGAACGCUGGCGGCAUGCUUUACACAUGCAAGUCGAACGGUAACAGGGUGCUUGCACCGCUGACGAGUAGCGAACGGGUGAGUAAUGCGUCGGAACGUGCCGAGUAGUGGGGGAUAACGCAGCGAAAGUUGUGCUGAUACCGCAUACGUACUGAGGUAGAAAGUGGGGGACCUUCGGGCCUCACGCUAUUCGAGCGGCCGACGUCUGAUUAGCUAGUAGGUGAGGUAAAGGCUCACCUAGGCGACGAUCAGUAGCGGGUCUGAGAGGAUGAUCCGCCACACUGGGACUGAGACACGGCCCAGACUCCCACGGGAGGCAGCAGUGGGGAAUUUUGGACAAUGGGCGAAAGCCUGAUCCAGCCAUGCCGCGUGUCUGAAGAAGGCCUUCGGGUUGUAAAGGACUUUUGUCAGGGAGGAAAUCCCUAGUGCUAAUAACACUGGGGGAUGACAGUACCUGAAGAAUAAGCACCGGCUAACUACGUGCCAGCCGCCGCGGUAA
rnacentral:rRNA from 1 species